UACAGAGGGUGCAAGCGUUAAUCGGAAUUAUUGGGCGUAAAGGGUUUGUAGGUGGUUGACUAAGUCGGAUGUGAAAUCCCCGGGCUUAACCUGGGCAAGUCAUUCGAGACUAGUCGGCUAGAGUGGGAUAGAGGGAAGUGGAAUUUCGUGUGUAGCGGUGAAAUGCGUAGAUAUGCGAAGGAACAUCAGUGGCGAAGGCGGCUUCCUGGAUCCUAACUGACACUGAAAAACGAAAGCGUGGGGAGCAAACAGG
rnacentral:rRNA from 1 species